AACUAUGACCAUACCACCCUGAAUGUUCCUGAUCUUAUCUAAUAUUGAAAGCUAGGCAGGGUCAUGCCUAGUUAGUACUUGGAUGGGAGACAACCCUAGAAUUUCAGGUACUGUAGACU
rnacentral:rRNA from 1 species